UGUAAACAUCCCCGACUGGAAGCUGUAGAACGCAGCUGAGCUUUCAGUCAGAUGUUUGCU
rnacentral:pre_miRNA from 1 species